CCUGCUGGUACGAUUCUUUGGUGCUUAAAGAAUGGCUGUCCGUAGUAUGGUCUCUAUAUUUAUGAUGAUUAAUAUCGGACAACCAUUGUUUUAGUAUCCAAAUUGCCUUCAGUUUCUCA
rnacentral:pre_miRNA from 15 species